rnacentral:rRNA from 1 species
AUGAACGCUAGCUACAGGCUUAACACAUGCAAGUCGAGGGGCAUCAGGAAGAAAGCUUGCUUUCUUUGCUGGCGACCGGCGCACGGGUGAGUAACACGUAUCCAACCUGCCCUUUACUCGGGGAUAGCCUUUCGAAAGAAAGAUUAAUACCCGAUGGCAUAAUGAUUCCGCAUGGUUUCAUUAUUAAAGGAUUCCGGUAAAGGAUGGGGAUGCGUUCCAUUAGGUUGUUGGUGAGGUAACGGCUCACCAAGCCUUCGAUGGAUAGGGGUUCUGAGAGGAAGGUCCCCCACAUUGGGACUGAGACACGGUCCAAACUCCUACGGGAGGCAGCAGUGAGGAAUAUUGGUCAAUGGGCGCUAGCCUGAACCAGCCAAGUAGCGUGAAGGAUGAAGGCUCUAUGGGUCGUAAACUUCUUUUAUAUAAGAAUAAAGUGCAGUAUGUAUACUGUUUUGUAUGUAUUAUAUGAAUAAGGAUCGGCUAACUCCGUGCCAGCAGCCGCGGUAAUACGGAGGAUCCGAGCGUUAUCCGGAUUUAUUGGGUUUAAAGGGAGCGUAGGUGGACUGGUAAGUCAGUUGUGAAAGUUUGCGGCUCAACCGUAAAAUUGCAGUUGAUACUGUCAGUCUUGAGUACAGUAGAGGUGGGCGGAAUUCGUGGUGUAGCGGUGAAAUGCUUAGAUAUCACGAAGAACUCCGAUUGCGAAGGCAGCUCACUGGACUGCAACUGACACUGAUGCUCGAAAGUGUGGGUAUCAAACAGGAUUAGAUACCCUGGUAGUCCACACAGUAAACGAUGAAUACUCGCUGUUUGCGAUAUACAGUAAGCGGCCAAGCGAAAGCAUUAAGUAUUCCACCUGGGGAGUACGCCGGCAACGGUGAAACUCAAAGGAAUUGACGGGGGCCCGCACAAGCGGAGGAACAUGUGGUUUAAUUCGAUGAUACGCGAGGAACCUUACCCGGGCUUAAAUUGCAGUGGAAUGAUGUGGAAACAUGUCAGUGAGCAAUCACCGCUGUGAAGGUGCUGCAUGGUUGUCGUCAGCUCGUGCCGUGAGGUGUCGGCUUAAGUGCCAUAACGAGCGCAACCCUUAUCUUUAGUUACUAACAGGUCAUGCUGAGGACUCUAGAGAGACUGCCGUCGUAAGAUGUGAGGAAGGUGGGGAUGACGUCAAAUCAGCACGGCCCUUACGUCCGGGGCUACACACGUGUUACAAUGGGGGGUACAGAAGGCAGCUAGCGGGUGACCGUAUGCUAAUCCCAAAAUCCUCUCUCAGUUCGGAUCGAAGUCUGCAACCCGACUUCGUGAAGCUGGAUUCGCUAGUAAUCGCGCAUCAGCCACGGCGCGGUGAAUACGUUCCCGGGCCUUGUACACACCGCCCGUCAAGCCAUGGGAGCCGGGGGUACCUGAAGUACGUAACCGCAAGGAUCGUCCUAGGGUAAAACUGGUGACUGGGGCU